UUGGACUUGAUUUUGUGCUUUGGAAAAACCAUUCCCUCGAGGCACUCGACUCAAUUGAUUUUUCUUUUGAUUCUGUGGGGGAUGUCGAGUUGUAGAUGAUGUCGAUUGAGGUUUAGAGAGUGUCGAUCGAAGUGUAGACAUUGCCAAUUGAUUCAUCUUUCCUUUAUUUGGGCAAUUCCUUUUGAUGUGUCCUUUGAUGCCACAAUUAUGACACACCUUGCCAUUUAAAGUUGUUGAGACUUUAGAAGUUGAUUUUGAAUCCUUCUCAACGUAUGUUCUUUUAUAUCCGAGUCCAAGCUUGUUCGUUUGACCCAAUCCGAGCAUAUGAUCUAGUUUCUUUGAUCCGGAUGAAAAUUGUUGAAUGUCGGAUUGAAGUUGACGAACUUGAUUAGUCAAAGCUUGAUUGGAUACACAUGUUUCCUUGAAUUGUUGCUCCAAAAAUCCAAUCUUAUCUUGAGAUGAUUUGAUCAUUGAAUCCGCUUCAUUUAGCUUCUUUUGGAGAUCCAAAUUAUCUUUUAAAUUUGCUUCCCUUUCCUCCUCGAGAGCCUUAUUCAAAGUCUUUAAGUUGUCAUUUUCCUCCUCAAUGCCUAAUAGACGUCACCUCAACUUCUUAUUAUGUUUGGCCAUUUUCUUCGACUCAAUAAGAAGUUGAUUGUACGCUUCCGCUAUGUCGUCAUCAUUUGAUUCCUCCUCACUUUCGCCAUUGUCGCUCGAAGAAUCAUGCAAAGAAAGAGAAAUAUUGGAAUUAGUAGCAAUAGAGGAUAAACAAACAAUGUUAGACGAAGGUAGAGAAGUGUUAGUAAAUAAAGCAAUGUGAUCACUCUUUUCUUCGUCACUUGAAGAUGAUUCACUAGAAGAAGUGUCAUCUCAAGUUUUUGCUUGCAAAGCCUUUUGCUUAUAAGUCUUCUUUGAAGGACAAUCCGUUGCAAUAUGACCAUAGCCUUUGCAUUUGUAACAUUAGAUUUCUCUUUCAAAUUCAUCCUUUUCUUUUGAAAACUUUGCAAGUUUUUUAUCCUUAGACUUUGACGAUGAAGAUGAUUUAGAAAAAGAUUUUUGCUUAGAAGAUGAAGCCUUGUCCGAUCUAUUUUUCCGAAAAUUCUGUCGGAACUUUUUCGUUAGGAGAGCUAAUUGAUGUUCAAAGUCGGCGAGCGAAACAUCUUCGUCGGAAUCCGGAUCGUCUUCUUCUUUCUUUGUUGAUUUGAGUGCAACCCCUGUGCUUUUAGAAAAAGACUUGGAAGAAGAUUGAUUAGUAGGAAAAGUCAUCUCACAAGUUUGCAUAGCACCUACUAGCUCUUCGACUUUCAUCUCGUCCGGAUGCUUAACCGUUUCGAUUGCGGCAACCUUUGCCCGAAAGCGUUCCGGAAGAGUUCGAAGAAUCUUUCUAACAACUUUAGCAUCUGGAAUUUUCUCUCCUAAGUUAGCGCAUGUAUUGACUACGUCUUGUAGACGCGUGUAGUACUCGGUAAAGGUCUCGUUUUCAUCCAUAGAAAUAGAAUCAAACUUGCUUGUUAGCAUUUGUAAUUUUUGGACCUUUACUAAGCUCGUUCCUUCAUGCGUAACUUGUAGAGUAUCCCAAAUUUUCUUUGCCGUUUCGCAUGCCGAAACACGAGUAAACUCCGUUUGCGAUAAAGCAUUGAAUAAAGCGUUAAUUCCUUUACCGUUAAACGAAGAUGCCUCGUUUUCAUCUUUCGUCCACUUGUUUCGUGGUUUAGGCGUUUCAACAUUCUCGACUUUUUCAAUAGGAUGUUUCCAUCCAAAUUCUAUUGAUUGCCAAACGCGCUCAUCGAUUGCAAUUAGAAAAGCUCUCAUGCGAACCUUCCAAUAGGCAUAAUUUGUGCCGUCGAAGAGCGGUGGUCGAUUAAUGUUUCCGCCUUCGGCCAUUAGAUAACAAUAUAUCUAGAUCCCGCUCUGAUACCAAUUGAAAGUUUUGGGGUGCCCAAGGAUCUAUCUAGAUUGUAUCUAAACACCUAGAGGGGGGUGAAUAGGUGUAAUAGCCAAAAACUACAAAUCUCAAUGCGAUAAAAAUAAUGCGAAAAAUAAAAAUCACACCGAGAUUUACGUGGAAAAACUCCAACUUGGAGAAAAACCCACGGGACCAACACGCGAAAAAAUAAUUCACUAAGAGAAAAGAUUACAAGGUGAUUACCGACUCCACGGACUCAACCUCUCUUAACCUCCUACGAAUCUCGCGCAAUCCUCCGGGUUGUCCACGCCCUCACGUUCUAAUCCACGAAUGCCUCGCACACGUCCGAAUCCACGAACGCCACUCGAAUCCACGAGCCCACGAUCCGAAUCCACGAACCGCCGUCAAUUACGCCGAAUCCACGACGCCAUCAUGAAGAACAUCAUGUAUAUGAUGAUCCUUCGCUUAGAGUAUUGAUGAAAAGCAGGGAAGAAAACUCCAAGCGAAGCGGAGAUCAAAUCGACAUAUAGAUAUGAAAUUUCAAUAUCUCGAUUUGACCUAAAAGAGGCUAGUAUGUAGAAAAUAGGUUUUAGAUGAAAUCCGAGCCUCUAGGGUUUCUCAAACAUGUAUUUUUGUGAUGCUUAAUAAGUUAGAGAAUCCCAACAGCUUAUUUAUAGACUUUAGAAUCAAUUGGAGUCGGAUUAGAAAGUUUUCACGAUUUUACACAGUGUAUCGGUACACGAAAGGCUGUCACCGGUUACACAAUGACGGAAGGAAAAAUUUGUGAAGCCAAAGUUGAUGGCUGUACCGGUACGGGGCAAUUGCUGUACCGGUACACGGUGCAAUUUUCACAUUUUGCACUGUUUCAGGUUCCGCAGAGUUCCGAAGCACUUUCUAAUCAGCUAAACAUUAAUAAUAAUGAUUCUAACGCCUAUAACUAAGUAUGAAUCACCAUAACAUGAAUUAACACAUUACCUUUAUGUCGUGAUCCACAUUGUGAGUUACUUUCCAAAAUCUUCGAAAUCUUGAAUUCUUCAAUCUUCGACGACACUCACCGAUUCUUCAAGACUCCGACUCGCUUCACGGAACUUGCUAACACACAAGACUUACUAGGAUCCGCGCAACUUGCGCCAAGGUGAUCGGACUGUAGCCGAGUACGAGCGGGAGUUUUCUCGGCUUCUUCACUGCGUGCCUUUCGUCGUACGGGACAACGAGGAUAAGGCCCGCAUCUUCGAGCGAGGAUUGCGACCGUCGAUCUUCCGGUUUGCGCAAUCCUCUAACCUCCAAACCUACCGGGAGGUGGUGGAUCGCACGCUCAUCGUGGAGAGCGACGCGGCAGACGUCCAGGAGCGGCGAGAGGCGAUGGACAAUGGUGAAAGUUUUGGGGUGCCCAAGGAUCUAUCUAGAUUGUAUCUCGCACCUAGAAGGGGGUGAAUAGGUGUAAUAGCCAAAAACCACAAAUCUCAAUGCGAUAAAAAUAAAUACGAAAAAUAAAAAACACAUCGAGACUUACGUGGGAAACUCCAACUUGGAGAAAAAUCCACGGGACCAACACACGAAAAAAUAAUUCACUAAGAGAAAAGAUUACAAGGUGAUUACCGACUCCACGGACGCAACCUCUCUUAACCUCCUAUGAAUCUCGCGCAAUCCUCCGGGUUGUCCACGCCCUCACGUUCGAAUCCACGAACGCCUCACACAUGUCCGAAUCGACGAACGCCACUCGAAUCCACGAGCCCACGAUCCGAAUCCUCGAACCGCCGUCAAUCACGCCGAAUCCACGACGCCAUCAUGAAGAACAUCAUGUAUAAGGUGAUCCUUCGCUUAGAGUAUCGAUGAAAACCAGAAAAAGAAACUCCAAGCAAAGCGGAGAUCAAAUCGACAUAUUAAUAUCAAAUUCCAAUAUCUCGAUUUGACCUAAAAGAGGCUUUAUGAAGAAAAUAGGUUUUAGAUGAAAUCCGAGCCUCUAGUGUUUCUCAAACAUGUAUUUUCGUGAUGCUUUUUUAUGUUAGAGAAGCCCAAUAGCUUAUUUAUAGACUUUAGAAUCAAACGGAGUCGGAUUAGAAAGUUUUUACGAUUUUACACAGUGUACCGGUACACGAAAAGCUGUCACCGGUUACACAAUAACGGAACGAAAAAUCGCAAAGCCAAAGUUGAUGGCUGUACCGGUACUGGGCACUUGCUGUACCGACACACAAUGCAAUUUUUACACUUUGCAUUGUUUCGGGUUUCACAACGUUCCGAGGCAUUUUCUAAUCCAUUAAACUUUGAGUUUAUGAUUCUAAUGCCUAUAAUUAAGCAUGAAUCACCAUAACAUGAAUUAAAACUUUACCUUUACGUCGUGAUUUACAUUGUGAGCUACUUUCCAAAAUCUUCGAAAUCUUGAAUUCUUCAAUCUUCGUCAAUCCGCAUCGAUCCUUCAAGACUCCGACUAACUUCACGAAUCCUUCAAGACUCCGACUCACUUCACGAAACUUGCCAAUACAAAAACCUUAACAAUCUCCCCCUUUGGCAAUUUCGUGACAAAACUCACAAAACUCAAAAAAUACAUAAAAGAUUCGAAGUUCAAUUGUCAUCACCAAAACAUUGAACUCCUCGCGUGUAAUCCAAAUACAAUUGAGAUUCAAAAUUACAUCAAAAACUCCUAAAACAGACGCUAUGACUUAGACGCAAUUAGGAGUCUUGAAGUUUUGAUUUCCUGCAAAAUAAUUUAUUAAAAAAUGAUUAAACUUAAAUUCUUAUACCUUCUUCCCCUUUGUUCACAUCUCGAUCACAUCUCCUCCUUUGUUCUUGAACUCAUCAUCCUCUUAAUGAACUCAAUGCCUGUUCAUCCAUGCUCUCCCCUGUUCUUGAACUCAUCAUCCUCUCAAUGAACUCAAUGUCUGUUCAUCCAUGCUCUCCCCUGUUCAUCUUCGCUCUCCCCCUUUUUGUCAAAAAUUGCCAAAAAAAAGCAAAUAGAGAGAAAAGACAUACUAGAAAGCAUAAGAGUAGUCAUCAUAGGUACAGGCCUAAAACAAAAGUAAAAGCAUGCAAAAGAAAGAUAAGCAAGAAAAACUAAACGAAAACAUCAUCCUAAACAGCAAAUACAGUGAAAGAGAAAGACUAAGCUUGACGAAGAAAUCACUCCGUGUCCUCGUCAUCAUCAUCGUCAUCAUCAGCUCCAGCGCCAGCUCCAGAACCUCCUACAUCCGAAGCUCCAGUAGAUGGAGAAAUAAGAGGAUGUCAUGAAGUAGACCUAGUAUAGACAGGCUGAGGAGGAAAAAUAUCGUCAUGUCUACAUCCCAACUUGUCCAUCAUCCUCUUCAUACCCACUUCCACCUUCCUGGCAAGAUCUGCCACUUUCUUUUUCAACGAUCGUACUUCAUGGCGAAGUGAUUCUCCCCCUGAACUGGAAGAUCCUUCACGCUCUGCACGUGGUGGAGGUGCCUGGCUAGGAGCUGCUCGUGAUGGUCCUUUUGUUUGCUGAAAGGUUUUUAGAGUGCUGACCGACUUGGCCCAGGUAACAACAUCGAUUAGACCAAGACCAAAAUCAUAUUUCUUGCAUGAAACAUCCACUUCAUUGUCCUGCAGAAUCCUCGUGAUCAAAAGAGGAAAUGGAAGUAGAUCCCGUCGGGCAGAAGCCUGAAUAACAUGAAUCAUCCGCUACCACAUCAGAAAAGGAAUGUUGAUGUUCAAUCCAUAAGCUUGCUCCGGGUGACCAAGUAGAAAUAGCAGAAGCAAACGAUCCCAACGAAUCCUCUUUGUUCCAAUCGUUGGUUGCACAUUGUAGCUCAAGACCAAGGACAGUAGAUGAUAUUCUAGUCGCAAAUCCUUGGACUCUACAUAAGCAUGAUUAGUCUGCACUCCAGCUUUGCAGAUAGCAGCUACAAUGGUAUCCCAGUGAGAUGAUGACUGAAAUCCUCCCGAUGUAUAAAGAAGACCCGUCGUGUCCACAGUCAUCCCCAAAAGCUCUCCAAUAGUAUAUGGGAUAACGACGACCCUCUGCUGACGGACGAAUGUCUCAAAAAGAAAAGUCCCGGUCUCCUCAUCUUCUGCAAGUACCUUCCCGUUCAUAUAGAACUCACGAAUGAGUUCCACACAAAAAGGAGCUCGAGCAGGAACCCUACCAACUCGUUCAAUAGGAACCCGCUGAAGUAGUCGCCUAAAGUCAGGAACGUCAUGUAUAAGAUCAUUGAAGUUGACAUAACGCUCUCCAAUACAAGAUUUGCUCAUGAACAUCUUUCGUCGCUCUGGGGGAACAUCCGCAGCAUGCUUCGACCGAGUUUCUCUUGCACGAGAACCACCGCCACGAGAGGAUUCGCCAGCUAUACCCUUACCCUUGUCAAGACGAGCAAUAGGUUCUUCAGCCUCUUCCGGGGAGCUUGCCUGAUAAUCCGGAUCAAACCCGGAUGCUUCUUCAGAUGUACGUGUCCUUUUAGAGGCCCCACGACGACCUCUACCACCACCUCGGCCACGACCACGACCGCCUACAGCGGCCAUUAGUACCAAAAUCAGCAACACAAGUGAAAACGUCAUUUUUCCUAUACAAAAAUUAAACUUGCAUGAACAAAAUUUUGAAAAAAAAAUCUGUAAAAAUAGCAAAAAAAUUUCUAAUAACAUUAGAAUAUAUACAAAUGCUAUUUCUAACCAGAUCAUAAAAAAAUUUUCAACAAAAAUGGCAUUUUAUCAAAAAUUCCGAACUUACAUGCAAAAUCAAGCUUAAAAUAUAGAUCAGUGAAAAAUAAUGUGUUUUGAUGUGAUUCAAGUGUUCUAGAAGCAAGAUAAUGUCCUUAAGCACUGAUCUACAGCAAAAAACUGCAUCAAAAACGAUCAAAAAUAGAGAUCUAGCUUCAACUCGGAAUAUUUUCGAAAAAUAAACAUGAACGCAAAGAAACGAUUAAAUCCAAGCUAAAUACUCACAAAUUUCUAAGGGAAAUCGUAUAGAUCUGCUAGAGGAAGGCACUAGGGAUUUUUAGAGAGAGAGAGAACGAAGUUUGGUUCGGAUUUGAGAGAGAAUAAAAGCUCUGUAACCGGUUAUAUAUCCGCGGCUACAGUAACCGUACUGGUACGGGAUUGUGUACCGGUACACGAUCUCAGAUUUCGAAAAUUUUGCUUUAAAAAUCCAACAAAUUAAAUUAAUCUCAUAUAAAUUAAGGAUUUUACUCCAUAAAUCAUUAUAAUGAGAAUAAGAUAUUAUAAGAUUUUAAAAUACAUCAAAACAUCAAAAUUUCAUUAUCAAAAAUAAUCUCAAGUUUCAAAAUCAUCAAGAUGUAACGGUUCACGAAAAAUGAUAUUUAGAAAUUUGGCAAAAUUGACACCAAUUUGUCGCAAUACGUUUAAAAUAGAGAUUUAACUAAUAUGAUACCGGGGGUGGCUCUUUGAGCAUCUUUUUCAAACUAACACCUUAUUACUCCGAAAAUUCUAAAAUAUUCAAUUUUUUAAAACCUUUUUCGGUUAAUCAAUUCAAUCUUCAUACGGUAGCUUCACACACUUGCUGGACGACCGGGGUGGUAGCUCUUUCCUACAUGUGGUGGUAGUUUUCACACUCCUUUUAGGUUGUAACUCUUUCCGCAUCUUUUAAACAUAGGAGUUUUUUUCUUUUUUUUAAAUAAUUUCAAACUUCCCCUAAAUUAGACAAUCUCACAAUUGAAAAUAUUUUGACAACUUUUAGUCUAUUAGCGAAUAUCCAUCUAUCAUAUUCAACACACACAACCGAGAUAGAUUAAUCACCAGAGAUCAAAUUUGAUUACAAAUUUUGAUGAAUAUACUGUAUAUUAAGAUCAAAUAUUAUUCUAAUUAUCGUCAAAAUAAUAAAAGUGAAGUAAAAACGAUAAUUAAUAUGAAUUUAACUUAAUAUGAUUGUGAAGUUAAACACCGUUUAAUGUGAUUUUGAAAAUUUCUCUCCUCAAAAUAAUGAUUUUUAAUCAUCUCCUUUCUCAUAAAAUUUUAUAAUCAUCUCCUUUCAGAAUGAUUUUUAAACAACCAAAAUAUCAACAUACCAAAAAAAAUUCAUUUAAACAUGUAAUGCAAUGAAUAAAAAUAUGCAAUAAGCACCUAUCAAAGCACUACACAAGAAAUAAAAAAUGACUAAGACGAGGAGCAAGGAAAGAUAUCACCUUUCCGGAUCAAACUUGUCGGACGUUGGUUUUCUCGACUUGUCGACGUUAGCGUGCGUUUUUUAGAUUUUUUAUCAACCGUUGGUGGUUUCGUCAGCUUGAGGCAUCGGUUGAACUUGUCGUUUAGGCUUAGAAAUCCGGUUUGCUUUGUGGUAGGUGGGAUCCCGAUCUCUUGAGGUACUCGACUCACUUGAUUUUGCUUUGCAUUCGUGGGGCGAAGUCGAGUUGCUAGAUGAUGGCAUUGACUUGGCGAAGUGCAUUGCAUUCUUCUUUGUCUUGAUCCGGGCAACUCUUAUUGAUGUGUCCUUUGAUGCCCACAUUAUGCACACCUUCUCUUUCAAAGUUGUUGAGACUUUAGAGCGUUUGAUUUGAAUCCUUCUCAUCAUAUGUUCUUUCAUAUCGAGGGCCCAACUUAUUCAUUUGACC
rnacentral:lncRNA from 1 species